ACCUGGGCUUGAAUCCCAGCAGCCACACCUCACACCCCUUUUUCCUCGAGCCGAAUCAUACCAAAACCAAACGACGCCGUCUCUCCGUCUCCCAUCUCUCACCCGAUCUCUCGCAUACAUAUACAGUGUACUCUGUCUCUCACUUCAGAAUUCAGAUACUGAUUCAGAAGACUCGAAAGCCAGAGUGUGUCUCCCAAUCGCAGGUCGAACGUUGCUCCAGAUGAUUGACAAUCAAGACCUUGGCUUCUUUGCUAAUUUUCUCGGCAUAUUUGUUUUUGCUCUGAUGAUUGCAUACCAUUACGUGGUGGCUGAUCCAAAAUAUGAAGGCAACUGAGGGUAACGUAUUGGUCUUUGCUGGUGGGGAUGCCAUGCCAUUUCUGUUUUGUUAUAAUGCAAGGGGUGGGCUAUUCAGAAUACAAGCUAGGGGAGUCGCGGACAGUCUUUCGGAGAUACUGUUUAUUGUCUAUUGUAUUUGGGGUAAAAGGAAUCUGAAAGUUUGUUGGGUAUUCAGACAACCUUUAGCAACGUUGGAGGAAAAUGGUAUUUUGUAUUUUGCCAGCAGCAAUGUUGGCCUUUGGGACUGAUAUAUUUAUAAUGUAAUGUUGAUGCAUUAAAUUGAUAUGUCGUUUAUUA